AGGAUUAGAUGCAGAGGACCAAGUAAGGCAAGGCCUUUUAAAGGUUAAUUUUGUGACUGAAAGCUGGUCUAAUGUUACUAAGAAACUGCAAAAGAUUGAUUGAUGGAAUGAAAAACCGAUUAAGAAUUACUGAGGGAAGCCCAAAAGGUUUUUGUAAGAAGAAAGAAAAGAGAAACUGAGAAAGAAAGAAAAAGAAAAAGUAAAAAAGGAAAUUGGAAAGAGAAAGAGGAGGAAACGGCAAACACAGAGGACAGAGAGAGAAAGAGGUAAGCUGCUGAUCCUGAAAGCAGCGGAGAGCUGGCCAUGCAGCUGCAGGCAUGGGGCUGGCAGAAGCUGCAGAGCUGGACCAGACAGUUGAGAUAAAAGUGGACAGUGUGAGAAAGCUGUUAAUAAAAGCUGCUGCUGAACCUUUGUCAUUUCGGCAGAGCUGUCUGUCUUUGCAGACAGAUGGGAGGAGCCAGGUGCCCAGAGACAAAAAGAGGAAGAAACUAACUAAGGGAGAAAGAAAACAGGGGUUGACAGAGAGAGAUAGAAAAAGAAAAUGAGCAAGAGAGAGACUGGGAAAGACAGAGAUCAAAGAGAGACACAGAAGGGGAAGCUGUCACUAAGGCUGCAGAGGGGCUGGAGAGCUACACAGGGAAGAUCAGAACUACUGUUGUAAACAAUGCCGCUGGGUUAGGGUCUCCCCGACUGAGCUGGUAUCAGCAAAUGGCAUCCAUCAUGGGGACUCAAAUCCAGGUCAAAGGUUUGCCAGAGGGAUGGUUGGAGAACAUGGAACUAGCUAGAGGACACCUGAGUACUCUUAAAGCAAUCCCUGUGGCCAAAAUCAACAGCCAAUUUGGAUACCAUCAAGACAAAUGAAACCUUAUCAUGAGCCAGAUUCUGGGAGGAUCCCGAGGACCCCUCAGUUGAAGCCAUGUCAAGACUGACGUUGAGGAAGACCCCAGCUUUCACGAGCAACACCCGUUUAACACAGCCACCCACCUGGGGAGAGAUCACGAAGCUGUCACAGAUUGUGGAAGAAAACCUGAGAAAAGCAGGACAACCAGUCACAAUGAGUAAUUUAAUGGUAGCUAUGAUAGCAGUUAUCACCCUGCCAUGAGUAUUCCUUCAACAAGGGCUGACACAGAGAACAAUUAUACUUACUGGGCAUAUAUAUCAAUCCUGGAUGGUAAUAAUGCCUGAAUAUAAUCACUCUAUGACACAGUUACACAUGCUUUCUGAUCUCAGUAUUUACCCUAAUAAAUUUGUUCCUAUAAUUGAGGCAUACCACCUUAAAAAACCUAUUUGUAAACAAAAUAGAACCUGGCCAGAAAUAAUGAAUGUACUUGUUUAGGAAGAUUGCUUUACAGAACAGGCAGAGGGGCUGCAUAACGAUUCCUAUGGAAUCUUUAUUGAUUGGUCCCCUAAAGGGAUGUUUAACCUAAAUUGCACCUCUCAGUCUGCAUGCCAUGGCCACACUAUGCUCAGCUGAUCUAAACAAAAUGGUCAGAUGGUAGAAAUGAUAAGAAGUAUGGCAAAAGUUCCUAUUAUCUGAAACCAUGGCAGUAUAGUGGCACCUCAACCUCAAAUGAUAUGGCUUAUUGUAGGAGGUAAACAUGAAGGAUUUGUGGAAACUAUUAAUAGCUCUUAAUAAGAUCAAAAUUUGGGAAAGAAUAAAAAAGUAUCUAGAAGGACACACUACAAACUUGUUUUUGGAUAUGGCAAAAUUAGAAGAACAAAUAUUUAAAACAUCUCAAGCACACAUGGCCUUAAUGCCAGGAACUGGAGUGUUUAAAGGAGCUGCAGACAGAUUAGCAGCUAGUAACCCAUUAAAAUGGAUAAAAAUACUUGGAAGCUCUGUAAUUUCAAUGAUGAUUGUGCUUUUAAUCUGUGUUGUUUGUCUUUGUAUAGUCUGCAGAUGUGGAUCCUGACUCCUGUGAGAAGUAGCUCACCAUGACAAAGCUGCCUUUGCUUUUAUCGCUUUGCAAAUCAAAUAAGGGGGACAUGUAGGGAACAGGCCCCCCCCAAAAUCUGGCCAUAAACUGGCCACAAAACUGGCCAUAAACAAAAUCUCUGCAGCACUGUAUCAUGUUCAUGAUGGCCAUAACGCCCACACUGGAAGGUUGUGGGUUUACCAGAAUGAGGUCAAGGAACACCUGGCCCGCCCAGGGUGGAAAACCUCUUAAAGGCAUUUUUAAGCCACAAACAAAAGCAUGAGUGAUCUGUGCCUUAAGGACAUGCUUCUAUUGCAGUUAACUAGCCCAACCUAUUACUUUAAUUUGGCCCAUCCCUUCGUUUCCCAUAAGGGAUACUUUUAGUUAAUUUAAUAUCUAUAGAAACAAUGCUAAUGACUAGCUUGCUGUUAAUAAAUAUGUGGGCAAAUCUUUGUUCAGGGCUCUCAGCUCUGAAGGCUGUGAGGGCCCUGAUUUCCCACUUCACACCUC
rnacentral:lncRNA from 1 species